rnacentral:rRNA from 1 species
GGAUAUGGGCACUAUGGGCGCGACAUGUAUCAAUUUCUCGGUUCACGGGGGUGGUAAUUUAACCUCGGAAAGACCGACAAGGCGCCUCUCCCGCAGGGUAGGUGUUUUGUUCGAGGGCGUUUGUGUUACUAUAUAUUAAGGCCACCAUCGUUGGGUACGGAUCGAAUGUGAAUGGAUCGGAACCCAGGGAGGCGUUCGCGAGCUGCUCAGCCAGAAGUUGGACGAGAUGAUCUUUGUGUCACCCGUCACCUUUCCAUAAUUGGGGUCGAUCGUCAGAUCAGCUAACGGGAUAAGUUACCGCUGAGGAAUCGCCCGCAAGGUUAAACUUAAAGGAAUGGCGGGACCGCCCAAGCGGUGGAGCAUGUGGCUUAUUCGAGUGCACACGGGAGGACCUUACUUAUUCUUUGACAUGUAGAGGACCGCGUAUGAGUCGUUUCCCUUCGGGCCCUUUACACAGGUGCUGCAUGCUGUCGUCAGCUCGUUUCGUGAAGAUGUUCGGUUAAGUCCGGUACCGAGCGCAACCCUUGUCUUUAAUUACCAGCAAGUUAUGUUGGGACUUUAAAGAGACAAACUUAUAGUGGGAAGGUGGGGAUGACGUCAAGUCAGCAUGGCCUUUACGGUUAGGGCUGCACACGUGCUACAAUGCUGGUACAAAGGGAUGCAAUAUCGCGAGGUGGAGCCAAUCCUAAAAACCCAGGCCCAAUUCAGAUUGAAGUCUGCAAUUCGACUUCAUGAAGUCGGAAUCGCUAGUAAUGGUACAUCAGCUACGGUACCGUGAAUACGUUCCCGGGUCUGUACACACCGCCCGUCAAGUCAUGAAAGCUUGUUUGCCUAAAGAGCGUUAACCAACCGUAAGGAAUACGUUUAAGGUAAGGUGAGUGAUGGGACUAGUCGAUUCUAAGUAA